AAAAAGGGUUUCAGUCAUGAGACACACACAUAGGGCAGCUUGAUUGCUCUAUGUGCAAAAUCAACAUCAGGAGAUGUCGGAAGCAUAAUUUUUUGGUACCUGGGCAGCUAGUGAUUGUUGAUUCUGGCGCCCAU